GCCAGCAGCCAUAUCACUCUGCAACUCACAACUGGCAACCCACUGAAGCUAAGCAGGUGUGAGCCUGGUCAGUACCUGGAUGGGAGACCUCCUGGGAAGAGGUGUUAGUGGUG
rnacentral:rRNA from 1 species